rnacentral:snoRNA from 1 species
AUUCCGUUAUGUUGACACUUUCUAACAAUAUCCUUAAACCUCUCCCAUGCUUCCAACACAAUUUCAAUCUCGUUCUAGCAAAACUUAUGGAUUUCUCUUCUGAACUU